CGCUAUUCCCUAAGAUUAACCCAUGCAUGUUUUUGACAUUUGAAAAAUGGACUGCUCAGUAAUACUCACUUUAUUUUAUGUAAAUUUUUAAUUAACUACGUUAAAGUGUAGAUAAGAUGUUUACAGUAAGAGUGAGACCUAUCAGCUAGUUGUUAAGGUAAUGGCUUAACAAGGCUGUGACGGGUAACGGUAUUACUUUGUAAUAUUCCGGAGAAGGAGCCUGAGAGACGGCUACUAAGUCUAAGGAUUGCAGCAGGGGCGAAACUUGACCUAUGGAUUUUAUCUGAGGCAGUUAUGGGAAGUAAUAUUAUAUUGUUUCAUAUUUUAAAAGUAUAUGAGGUGAUUAAUUGGAGGGCAAAUCAAGUGCCAGCAG
rnacentral:rRNA from 1 species